UGGGGUGUGGCUCAGUGGUAGAGCACCUGCCUAGAAUUCCCCAGUGAGGGCUGGGGUGUGGCUCAAUGAUAGAGUACUAGCAUGUGCAAAGUCCUGGUUUCAAUUCCCAGUACUGCAA
rfam:Cricetulus griseus cell line CHO-K1, whole genome shotgun sequence.